AUCCGAGAAGCUGGCGGGACUCGGCAGUAGGGAUGUUUGGUCUGAGGACGAGCUGAGGAGGGAAGCGGCUUGUAAACAAGAGGAGUUAGAGUGAGGAAAUGCUGCAGCGCGAAGCUGGGAGACGGCAUCGACAGAGAGGAGGCUCGGAACCGUGUGCCGACAAGAUGAAAUAAAGCUAAGAUUAAUGGGAUUCGGUGAUGCAAAUAGAAGGCAACGGCGAUCUGUUCAAGUAGAGCUCCCCGGCUUGGCAGUGGAUUAGGGGUCGGAGCGGUAGGCAGCAGGAUGGCAGCGUGCUGCUGCUGUGAGGGGCUCAGAAAGUACGUGAGUAAAAAGGCCGCCCUCUGGAAUGUGCUGCGGGAGGGCCUCCGUCGGCUGUGCAAAACAUGGAUGUCGGAGUGCAUGGCUGCCGAGUCCUUAUCUGCAGCCCGGCUGAUCGCCCACGUUCAGAUAAACGGUUCUGAACAGAUGCAGAAUAGGGCUGUGGAUGUUAAGAAGAAUGAAGAGUCUGCUUGCUGGGAGACAGGAAAGUUGUGUGGUUUUUAUGUAUGGGAGGAAAGGAACUUGCAAGCUCAAGGUUAGCAUAAGCAAGCUUAAAGAAAGUGAAUGCAGUUCACUGGAAAUAGCAAGAAAAGUUCUCACUGUUGUUCUGUAAAUGCUCUGGAGAGGUUUCAAAUGGGCAAGAAAACUCAAUUGCUUUUGAAAUAAAGUUUGAAAAAUUCAGAAAAGAAGAUCAGUGUGUGACUCUGCAGAGUAGUGGGGAGUUUGGCUCAGGAAUCCUGAAUGUCCCAUCUAUUAGUUCAGUGCUCUUGUGACCCAGCAAAAUGGACUAUGAGAUGGAUGAGUACUUCUGCAGUGGGCCCAUUUUGAUACGGCUGUUGUCAUCAUGCUUUCCUUUUCCAUUAUUCAAGUGUUUUUUUUUUUUUUCUUUGGGACCCGUACCAGAAGCAGAGUACUUCAAUUAUAUUCACUGCCAGAUGCAUCUCAUGUGUACGUUCGGCAUUAUGCUCACAGAAUGGAAGCUGUGUUCUUUACCUUGCUCACUUCAACGUGUGAAGUUUCUGUACAUUUCCACCCUUAUAUAUCGAAUAACUGUUGAGGUGUACUCACACAGCUCUGCAGGACUUUCUGUCCCUGGAUGUGCUAUUAGUAGAAGUCCUCAUGGAACAAUUUUUAGGAAAACAUUUAAAUGAAAAACUUGAAGUCUUCUAGGGCAAGGCAAUAUUGCAUUCAUGAAUGUGUGUGCAAUCAGCUCCCUUGUGAUGUUACCUGAGACCUUAUAUCUUUCUUCUGCUUUUAUUUUUAGUGUCUGUAGUUUUUACAUACCACACUUAGUGCAGCAUCAAAAAGCUAACAGAAGAAUGUUGACAUUACAGAAUGUUGCUCUUCAGACCAAGGCUGCCAUGGUCCAGGCAGACAUUUUAGAUUCCUUCCAUUGCUAUCUGGGAAAUCUCCAUAACACAGGAAAUUAAACAAUCAUUGCUCAGCCGUCCUUUUUCAUUUUUAUCUUAUAGCCCACAACUGAUCCAGGUUAUUCAGAGAGGAAAAAAAACAGUGUUAUGGAGGUAACAUCCCACUCGGUGGUCAGUAGAAAACUAAGUGAUCGCAUCACUCUCUUCAUCAACGCAUGCCUUAAGUGCUUCCAGUAGCUCUUUUUCUAGUUGCUGAAACCGAGUAGUGAAUAGAUUAUAGGGAUUAAACUUCUUUCAUUCCCCUGGAGGUGAGCAAGUCAUGUGAAAAUGAAAGGCUUGUUUGGUAGGAGACAGUAUGAAAGACUGGGAAUACAAAUAUAUAUAUAUAUUAUCUCUAAAUGGCUUCUUGCACACUUUGUCUUUAACAGAUGGUUUUAUGUGAGCUGCAGACAGAAACUUGAGGCUUACAGGGCAGAAAUGGGACUGAACUAAAUCUAUGAGUAUGGAAUGAAACAAUGCUUGGUCAUUAUUGAAACUGGAUUCCUGAAACGUUUUUCUUUUAUCUUGGGCCACCUUCCAUGUGAUGGAGCAAUGUAGCUAAGCUGUAGGUUGCCUUACGCUUGCAACACUGCAACCCCGAGGGAGAUUGCAUCUGCAGAGAUCUGCCUUCAUGCCUGGAUUGAUAAGUGAUGCUGGGGAAGCAUCUUGGCAAGAUGCUGCUGCAGUAUCCUGUCUCCUCAUCACGUCGCCCUCUGGAAGACAGAAGUGACGAUCAGCGGUGCGCUGCUGUCCUGCAGGCAGUUGAAGAACCACUUUGACAGCUAGCAGGAGAAAACUAUGCAAUGUAAUCACAGCCUGUCUGUGCUCUUUCUAACAAUGUACGGUAGCACCCUAUUCCCAGUGAGGGGAUGCUAUGUCCUCCCUCUGAUGAUCUGUAUUCUUCUCCGUUACUGUAACUAAGCUGUUUCUUUCCCACAGCCAUGUGUUCCUGCAGAAAUAGCAAGGAUACCCCACGCAGAUUAAGGUUUACAAAUUCAGGAGGGGCUUGGACAGAGAAAAGGAGAAUGAAGUAAUUCCAAAAUAUUUGUACUCCGGCUGAUAAAACUAGCAGGAGAGCUAAUGUUGUGUGGGGUUUGCUGUAGGGUAGAAGGAAACCCGGGGACAAACUGUCUCCUCUUAGACCUGCUAUAAGUGCUGUAUGAUAAAGGUGAAUUUCCAAACUUAGCCAUAAAGCUGCAGGUCAGCCAGCAGGACGGCGGCUUGUCCCACUUCCCACUGCAGGCUGUAUAGAAGCUGCGUGUUGGAUCCGAUGGGGUUUGAAUCCUACCACAAAAACAAUGGAUGUUCUCAAGGUCGGGAGCACAGCUUUCUGUUAUGUGGUUUUGAAUGGAAGAAUUAUUGUGUAUCUAUUUAUGUAAAAUGGAAAAUGUAAAAAAA